rnacentral:rRNA from 1 species
GAUGAACGCUGGCGGCGUGCCUAAUACAUGCAAGUCGAGCGAACAGACGAGGAGCUUGCUCCUCUGACGUUAGCGGCGGACGGGUGAGUAACACGUGGAUAACCUACCUAUAAGACUGGGAUAACUUCGGGAAACCGGAGCUAAUACCGGAUAAUAUAUUGAACCGCAUGGUUCAAUAGUGAAAGACGGUUUUGCUGUCACUUAUAGAUGGAUCCGCGCCGCAUUAGCUAGUUGGUAAGGUAACGGCUUACCAAGGCAACGAUGCGUAGCCGACCUGAGAGGGUGAUCGGCCACACGGGAACUGAGACACGGUCCAGACUCCUACGGGAGGCAGCAGUAGGGAAGCUGCCGAAAUGGGCGAAAGCCUGACGGAGAAACGCAGCGGGAGUGAUGAAGGUCUUCGGAUCGUAAAACUCUGUUAUUAGGGAAGAACAAAUGUGUAAGUAACUAUGCACGUAUUGACGGUACCUAAUAAGAAAGCCACGGCUAACUACGU